UACGAAGGGGGCUAGCGUUGCUCGGAAUCACUGGGCGUAAAGGGCGCGUAGGCGGCCAUUCAAGUCAGGGGUGAAAGCCUGUGGCUCAACCACAGAAUUGCCUUUGAUACUGUUUGGCUAGAGACCGGAAGAGGUUAAGUGGAACUGCGAGUGUAGAGGUGAAAUUCGUAGAUAUUCGCAAGAACACCAGUGGCGAAGGCGGCUUACUGGUCCGGUUCGACGCUGGAGGCGCG
rnacentral:rRNA from 1 species